GUGUGUGUGUGUGAGUGUGUGUGUGUGUGUGUGUGUGUGUGUGUGUGUGUGUGCGCGUGCGUGUGUGUGUGUAGGUAUGCAUGUCUCGGGACUUUAGGAAUGUUGCGUGUGGCAGGUACGGUGUGUGUGUGUUUGUGAAGAAUUGACUGGAGUCCGACGGGUGUGUAUGGAGAGGGAAAGAAACAGGGCAGUUGUUGGGUUAAGGAUAGAUUUGGAAGAUUUGGGGAAAUGUAACCCUUUAGGUCUAAGGACGCGUAUACGCAUCUUUUGAACAGGUCUGAUUUGGAACAUUGUAGCAGCAAAACUCCUCCUCCCUGAGUUUCAGUUACAAUUCAGCUUUAAAAAUGUUUGGAAUGAUUUAAGGUCUAAUAUGCAACCCCUUUAGGUCCCAAUAAAAUAUAUAGUUAUGAAUUCAUAUAGCCCAGGAUGUGCUGAAAAGGUUGAUACCGAAUAAGGCAGUUAUUAUGGUUUUUAUUUUGGAAAUACAAAGGAAAAUUCUAAAUUAGUCAAAAACGGCAAAUUACACCCUUAACCCAGAGGGAUGAGGUCCGGUCGAUGAGCGUGGGAGAGUUAAAGAGCGGGUCAAUUGAGCCUCGGAGUCCUUCUCCACCCACGUAUCAAUUUUAAAAAAUGCAACAUUAGUAGGCGUUGCCUGGAGGAGCGAGAGGGCGGAGCCGCGGCAGUGACGAAGACGAUGGCUAACUAGACGAAGCUAGCUCCCUUCACUCUGAGCAGUUGAUAGAAGUGGAGGACGUUUCUCCCCCUCCUUACAGACACUCGAGAAGAAAGGGACCAAGUCUAUUUGGAGGAGACAAGCGGACCUGAGUCUUAUUGUUUUGAGCUUGUGAGUUGCCUGAAACUCCCAGAACCGACCCAACAGAAUCACCUCUGAAAGGUCCUCUGGUGUCUGCAGCUGGUCUCUGGUGUCUGCAGCUGGUCUCCUCUGCUGGUGUCCUCAGGAUCAGGAACUUCCAGAAGAAUGUGCCUUUCAAUGACUCUUUCCCCCUUAUUUGUUAUAUUAAUUAAAUAAAUCUCAAUUUAUAUA